UCGAUUGUGGAUUUACAGAGAAUCAUUCUGAGUAGGAAAUAUUUAAAAAAAAUGUUUGGUCCUGCGGAAUUACAAAACUGGAUAUGACACGUACACGAUUAAGGAAAAAUCAUCCGUAACCCCGGAAGUUAUUUGGGAUAGAGUCCCAAGAUCUUUUGUCUGCAGAACUGGAAGAGGUUUGGGAUUAAACGUGAUACCAGAAGAAGCGAUGCGUUAUUUUAGCCCGUCAAAGAUAUACCAAGGUUGGUUCGUCAAUCCGUUGUUGCCGAACACAGAAACUGGGAUGCCAUUCAGCCGACCCGAGAGUGAUGUUGAACAUCAUGACGGACGAGAGGAAUUCAUCAAUCGCUUUACUACACAAGUGCAGUUCAUUAUAAACUAAAAAGAGAACAUGACCAAAGACUCAAUUUUAACAUUUAUUUGUCAAAUUUGUAAUAUAAAGUUAUGGCUUACACCAAAGUAACAUUUGAGAAAUUCCCCAAAAAAUAUAACAAAAAAGAAACAACAGAAUAUAUGCAAAGUGCAAAUUAUGUAAAAAUAAGGAAAACACAGAUAUCUUAUAAAAUUGUUUAAUAGUUUUGCUCUUGCCUCUUGUACCGGAUAUGGCCUACAUGGUUAAAGUGGGAACCUGUUUUAAGAGGCCUCUUUUUUACUUUAACCCUGUAGUCCAAAUCCAGUCUUAUUUGCUUACACGUAUUUGUGUCAAAAUUGUGUCAAAACCAGUGACUGUAUUAACACACAAGGAAAGGUAUUGGUAAUGUAAGCAUAGCUUUUGGUGCCGAGUGGUGUAACCUAAACUUAAAAUACUGUUGCUAGUCGGUCAGCCAAAAUGAUAUUCGGUAUUCCGUGGGCCGCGAAAUUACCAGUAAUUAUUA